AGCGAACGCUGGCGGCAGGCCUAACACAUGCAAGUCGAACGCACCCUUCGGGGUUAGUGGCGGACGGGUGAGUAACACGUGGGAACGUGCCUUUAGGUUCGGAAUAACUCAGGGAAACUUGUGCUAAUACCGAAUGUGCCCUUCGGGGGAAAGAUUUAUCGCCUUUAGAGCGGCCCGCGUCUGAUUAGCUAGUUGGUGAGGUAAUGGCUCACCAAGGCGAUGAUCAGUAGCUGGUCUGAGAGGAUGACCAGCCACGUUGGGACUGAGACACGGCCCAAACUCCUACGGGAGGCAGCAGUGGGGAAUCUUGCGCAAUGGGCGAAAGCCUGACGCAGCCAUGCCGCGUGAAUGAUGAAGGUCUUAGGAUUGUAAAAUUCUUUCACCGGGGACGAUAAUGACGGUACCCGGAGAAGAAGCCCCGGCUAACUCCGUGCCAGCCGCCGCGGUAACAC
rnacentral:rRNA from 1 species